rnacentral:rRNA from 1 species
UACAUGUGGGGCAAGCGUUGUUCGGAAUUACUGGGCAUAAAGGGUGCGUAGGCGGUUUGUUAAGUCAGUGGUGAAAGUUUUCGGCCCAACCGGAAAAUUGCCGUUGAUACUGGCGAACUUGAGUGCGUGAGGGAUGGGGGGAACGAGCAGUGUAGCGGUGAAAUGCGCAGAUAUCAGGAGGAACACCGGUGGCGAAGGCGGGUCUCUGGGCCGAUACUGACGCUGAGGAGCGAAAGCGUGGGGAGCGAACAGG